GUGUACUCAGUGGCAGCAUCCAGGCCUUCCACCUCAUGCUCCUUCUUCAUUGUAUUGGCUUCCCCAACAAGGCCAUUCCCCCUGGCCCAGCUGAUCCAGUCUUCGACCUCAUUGGGCACUUAAUGAGAAGAGAGAAGAAAAGCAGUGGGGAACAGCUUCCCAGGCUCCCCAGCAUAGCUCCAGUCCCUCCCCAGUCCGGGUCCCCCCCGACUCAGCCGCCAAAGCAAUAUUCUCAAAGCACAAGUGAACCAAGUUGUGGUCCCCCUCCCAGGGCUCCCUGUUACCUUUGGGAUCAGAAAUGCCCUUCACCACCGGCCUUGACUUACCUCAUGGUCUAAAGUGGGUCAAGACCCCACGUGGGGUCAACAAUUGGCAACAGUAAAAGGUAUCAAAUAUUUCAUCAAGAUUCAGUUCUUUAUAUCAAAAUAAACAAGCACGUCCAGUCAUUAGUUUGCUAAUUUGUUUUCAUUUUUAAAAGGGUUAAAGUAUAUGCAUCGUGAAGAAUGGUUUUUAAAAUGAAUUUCUCUAUAAUUUAUCACUAGGGUUUGCUUUGUAUACCUAUUUUAUGUGCCUAUAUACUGGCUUGGCAUAAAAAUGUCUCAUUUGAAAAGGAGUCGUGAGUGGGAAAGGUUUCAGAAGCUCUGCUCUAGAGCCGUGGUUCUCCCAGUGAACUCCCAGGGAUCCUGGGGGUCUCUGAAACUCUUCAAUUCAAAAUUAGUUCUAAAUUCUCAUAUGGUAAAUAUCUAUAAAGAUAACCCACAUAAAGGAAAACUCUUUGGACAGAACCACAAUCAUUGUUAUUAGACUAAAUGUAAUGAGGGCAGUGGUCAGUAGCCUCACACUUUUGAGGACAGACAGGUGAAAGGAAAGAGAGAAUCGAAUAAAUAUGGGGCACAUGCAGUUGGCAACAGUAAAUGGAAAAAGAACCUUGAGGCAAGUUUCUCUGAUGAGGACUUGCUCCUCAAACUUAGAGGGAAUUGAAUCAAAUUUAUGAAAACUAAGAGCCCUAACCGAUAAAUGGAAAAAAGAUACGACCUCUGCCCAAAGGACUAUAGGAACUCAGUCAUAUUCUUCAACCUAACAAGGCCACUACUGGGUGUGAAUACCAAUAAAAUUUUUAAAAAGGAAAAGCUCCUAUGUGUAGAAAGAGAUUUGUAGCCCUUCUCUUCUCAGAGCAGGAAAUUGGAAAUUACGGGGGUGCUCAACACUGGAAAAUGGCUGAAUGAGCUGGGAUUGUCAUAGAAUGUUAUUGUUCUGUGGGAAAUGAGGAGCAGGAUGCUCUCAGAAAAACCUGAAAGUCCUCCAUGAGCUCACGCAAAGUGAAAUGUUCUGUGUGCAAAGCGAUGCUCCAGGAAGCCCGGCUGUGAGUGACUUUGCUAUCCUCACACUUGCACAUUGUGGGUGCCUGCUAAGUGAAUGGCCCAUGGCAGAUUGAUUGGAACGAUAGCUAAUUAGUGAAGUCAAAGGAAACUCAGGGAGGUCUGAACCCCUGAAGGAGGCAAGGCUAGGGCCUUCUUCCCCUUCUUCCCCUUCUCUUUUCCUCAAAGACCCCCGGUUCUGGCUUCUUGAAAGCAAAGGGUUGGAAGAGAUGGCCUCUGGUCCCUCCCUGCUCUGAGACUCUGCCAUUC